CGCAAAUCUAAACAGAUACUGUCCCUCCCAGGGCAGGACUCAAGAGCGGGAGCCACGACUCCAUGUGCCCAAACAUGGGGAUGGGCAGCCACCGGGCCCCUCUGUCUCGCGAAGUUUCUCAGGACCCUGGGCUUUGCCACGGUCUCAGUCCUUCUCAACGUCUCCCUCCCUUAAUGCGCCUUCUUUCUUUUUCCUGUCCCUUCAAGAAUUAGAGUGGUCCUUUAAUUCUUUUUGUUUCCUCUCUUUUCGAUUUCCUUCUUUUGUGUCCAUCCUUCCUGCUUUCCUUCUUCCUCUCCCUCUUUUUAAAAUUGCAUUACUGUCAUACCUGGUUUCCCUGCAGUUCUUGGGUGGAGUUCGAGGACCCUCCCUGGUGGAAGGCGUUUGUGUUCUACCAAAAGAGGAGCCCUUCUGACCGAGGCUUCAGAGCUCAGCGUGGCGCCGACGGGACCACCUUUCCCUUCUCACCUCUUUUCCUCUCCACCUUCCAGGAAACCACUAUCUAUCCAUCUAUCCAUCUAUCUUCUGUAUACGAGUAGAAGGAGGAGGAGGAGGAGGAAAAUCAGGAAUCCACGCAAAGUUUUCCAAGCUCCCUGAAGUGGUUGGGCACAUCAGUAGCUGAGAGACUCCUCUGACCAUGGCCAGCCUCAGGAAGUGAGUGUCAACAGCCUUGCAGAUGGGAACUCAACUCCUGGGUACCCAUGCCUGAAAAGACAAUUUCGCUCUUGAUGCCCAGGCUGGAGUGUAAUGGCAUGAUCUCAGCUCACUGCAACCUCCGCCUCCCAGAUUCAAGCAAUUCUUCUGCCUCAGCCUCCCAAGCUGGGAUUACAGGCAUGUGUCACCAUGCACCUCUUGCACCCGGUCUCCUUCUCAGAGUCUGAUGCCCAGGAAAUCUGAUCUGUGGCAGUGUGGGGAUUCAUCCAAGAAUGAAGACUGUUUGUAAAUUGAGAUUUGAGGGUGGAAUCAUCCACUGGCCAGCCAGCUGUGAGGACCAGCCGCUGGUGGUUGGGGGUGCACAAAUGGCCUCAGGCCCGCUGUACUGCUGCAACUAUUAAAACUCCACCAUGGUGUACAUGGAAGGAUGGCUGGUAGAAUAGGACUUACUGGCAAGUAGUGUAUCAGGCAUUUGAGAGAUACAGGGCAAUAGUCAUUAUAAAGACAAUAGAACUAGAUAGUUGUUGUUAGGAAAUAAUCUAUUCUUUGGGGCAAGACCGUAAAAGGCUGAGGGUAAUUAAUCACCUCUUACAGGCUAAGUCAGAAUUCCAGAGGACAUCCUCAGAAGCAUAAAAAGAUACCCUCAUCUCCUAUCAUUGGAGUGCAGAAAAACCUGAGGAAUGAAUUUAGGAUUUAAUUAUGGAAGCACAGAGUUUCAGAGAAGGUUGAGUUCUGAGUUCCACAGACCAGCUCUGCCAAGGUCAGAGCCCUAAUUAUGAAGGAAUGGAACUGCAAUACAUGGGAUGUGGACAACUGAUGUAGGAUUUUUUCUUCUUGGUCACUUUGCAAGCCUGGGACCUCCAGCCAGUGAUGUCCGCCCAGGGCUUGCUUGGCUAUGCUGGUGUGCCUCAGCUUGUCUGUGUUAUAGCUUGUACCCACAUUUGGUGAUUCUCAAGCUCUUGUACCACACCCAAGAAGAUUGAGGAUAUGCUGCACAUUGAAGGGUGAGGAGGGCAGAGAAGAAUUUUACUGAGCGACCGAACAGCUCUCAGUGGAGAGGGGACACAGGGGAUGGUCCCUCACCCCCACAGUCAGGUGGUUCUCUCCUCCUUGCGUAGGUGGGUCUGGGGAUUUUUAUGGACUCAGAAUGGGGAGGGGCAGGCCAUAGGUAGUAUUGGAAAAGGCAACACUCAAUUGGUUAAAAAGUAUUAUUCAGAAAGAAUCAAUAGGGAAAGGGUGAGCAAACAGGAACAGAAGUUCUCAUUCUGGGUCACCGGUUUCAUCUGGGACCAGCAAUCUAGUUUUUCAGCCUUCAAGCUGUUUUUGACUUGAAGGUGGGGUUUCACCAGGGACCCACCCCUAUCUGCCUCAGCAUUUGGCUGACUCCUAUCGCUAUCAAAACUGUGUUAAUGUAUUAGAAACUCUUGAAUCCCCAGAUUCUCCUGUAUCCUCUGGGUCUGCAGAAGCAACCCACUCCUUCCUGUUAAAAGAUGGUACUCUGAUGUGCACCACCACCCCCAAGGAACACCCCUUGGUUUAAGCCAAUGCAAAGUCCUUUGCCUUGCGAGACAGCAUGCACACUCCUCAAGGAUAUGUUCUCAACUCCCCUCCUGACCAAUAAUCAGAAAUAUGUCACAACGUAACCCAACUGUGCUGGGCCUGCUAAGAGAGGAAAGGGAUUACAGCCAGCAGGAGCCACCGGACAUAUAUGCAUAUGCAUACAUUCCAAUAUGCGCUGGCAGGAGCUGGGAGAAUACAUAAAUGACUAGAUUCUAAGGGUACUGGAUCAAGGGGCAUGGGACAUAAAGUUGGUUAGGGGACAGUUUAUCAAUAUGGCAGCACUCUUCUGCAAUACAGAUUUAAUACCCUAUUUAAGGAGGUGAAGCUAACAUAUUUCUAGGAUGGCCCUUAGAAGCUUGGACAAAGUGAAGUAGAAGUGCCAGAAUUGCUGUGGCAGAUGGUGGAAGAGGGAUAGAAACCUUGAGCAGUAGGCCUACUACAGUGGAUAUAAUUAGCAAAACUGGGAAACUCACUCUAUGACUAUGUUUGGUGGGAAGCCCUGGAGGACACACUGUUGAUAAAAUCAAUAAGAAAUGCACUGACAAGAAGGCACCAGAAUCUCUGAGAAGCUUAGUGGUUGGUGAUAGUCUUCUGCAAGGUGGGAGAUCCUGUUGCAGAACUGGGCUCUCUGAUAGUAGAAGGAAAUGACAGAAUUCCAAAAUAAUAGAGUCAGGUGACACUUAAAUACCAGAAGAAAAGUGGGUGCAAUUAUUGUCAUGAAAAGCAAAGCUGAAGUGGAAGCCCAGGAGGCCUGACCUGAGAGCUAUUGAAGCAGCAACUAGAACGUGAUGUCCCUGGAGGGGCCUGGAGGAGGUCACACCCACGAGCCAGAGCUGACGUUCUUUUUUAGAGACAAAACUUUGCCUCCUUAACCAAUUGCAAAUGAGAAAAUCUUUGAGUCUGCCACCAACCUAUGGGCUCCUGCUUUGAGAUAGCCCACUUUUUUAGGUCAAACCAAUGUAUAGCCUCCGUGUUUUGCUUUAUGACUUUGCCUGUAACCUCUGCCUCUUCACCUUUAGAAACUGUUACCCGUAAGUCAUCUGGGAGUUCCGGUCUUAAGCAUGAGCUGCCCGAUUCUUCUUGCUUGGUGCCCUGCAAUAAAUGCCUCACUUUCUCUUGAUGCUAUGCCAAUGUCAGCAUGUGGCUUUGCUGCCCCAGGCAAGUGGACCCCAGUUCAGUUUGAUAACAAAGAUAAGUAAAUCAAAACCAAUAUCAUAUCCUGGGGGAAAACAGCAGCUGAAAACAUCUGCCUCCUCCGUGGUCAUGUUCCCACAUCCAGUGGCAGGCCAAUCCUUGAGGAUCAGGACAAUUCUGAAAGGCCAUCCUUCAUCUGGAGUCUUCCAUGAGAUUGACUGAGACCACUGGUGCGACCGUGUCACACCCCAAUUCCCCUUCUGCCCAGUCUGGCUUUCUCCACCCCCGACAGGUGUUGAUUCCCAAGAGUCUCUCCCAAUAACCUUAUUGCAUGUGAAUAUAUAUUUUAGAAUCUGCUUCCUGGGAAAUCUGACAGGACAGAAUGAAUCCACAACAUUCACUACCAGAAGAUGCUCUGCCUUUGAACUGGCCUGCCCAUGGGCUUUUCCCUGGACCUUGGGAGCACCUCUAAUCAAAAGUUAAUACCCAGAGCCUCAGAGGUUUCACUGAAACACUGCCCAGGAAGGAGUCACUGAAAAUCCUAUGAGGAAGGGAAGUGGGGGAACCUGGGAGGAAGGAAACUACACAAUCUGAAAGAUGUAUAAAUACAAAGUUUCCAUAAGUUUGGGGCUUGAAUCAUAUACCUGAGAGAGAGAGAUUUCUAGGAAUGAAAAGAAGCAAGCCACAGCCUUUCAUCAACUACCUAAGCCAAGCAGUGGGCAGAUCUACCAGCUGGCCAGGCAGGGGGUGCUGAAUGGCUGUCAGUCUUGUGGACAGGACGUCCCAACUAUUCUGACCUGUCACCGCUAUUUUGGGCACAGAAGGGAGGACCGUGGGGUCGUCAGCCUCAAGGCAUUUAGUCUUCUAUUCCUUUUCUCUUCCUUUCCAGUUCUUUGAAAUGAGAAUCAGGGUUUAUGUCCAGUCCCAGAGUGACACCUUAGACACCUUAAUUACACCACUUUGUUCUCUCUCUCUCUCUCUUUCUUUUUUUUUUUUUUUUGAGAUGGAAUUUUGCUCUUGUUGCCCAGGCUGGAGUGCAAUGGUGCAAUCUCGGCUCACCGCAACCUCCCCCUCCUGGGUUAAAG
rnacentral:lncRNA from 10 species